rnacentral:tRNA from 1 species
GCCAGGAUGGUAUAGUGGUUAAAGUGUUGGACUAUGACUCUGAAGACCAGGGUUUGAAUCCUGGCUCGGCC